rnacentral:rRNA from 1 species
UACGUAGGUGGCAAGCGUUAUCCGGAAUUAUUGGGCGUAAAGGGUGCGCAGGCGGUUGGUCAAGACGGAUGUGAAAGCCCCGGGCUUAACCUGGGAGUGUCAUUCGUGACUGACGAACUAGAAUAUGGCAGAGGGAGGCGGAAUUCCACAUGUAGCAGUGAAAUGCGUAGAGAUGUGGAGGAACACCGAUGGCGAAGGCAGCCUUCUGGGCUAAUAUUGACGCUCAGGCACGAAAGCGUGGGGAGCAAACAGG